rnacentral:rRNA from 1 species
AUUGAACGCUGGCGGCAGGCCUAACACAUGCAAGUCGAGCGGAUGAAGGGAGCUUGCUCCUGGAUUCAGCGGCGGACGGGUGAGUAAUGCCUAGGAAUCUGCCUGGUAGUGGGGGAUAACGUCCGGAAACGGGCGCUAAUACCGCAUACGUCCUGAGGGAGAAAGUGGGGGAUCUUCGGACCUCACGCUAUCAGAUGAGCCUAGGUCGGAUUAGCUAGUUGGUGGGGUAAAGGCCUACCAAGGCGACGAUCCGUAACUGGUCUGAGAGGAUGAUCAGUCACACUGGAACUGAGACACGGUCCAGACUCCUACGGGGGCAGCAGUGGGGAAUAUUGGACAAUGGGCGAAAGCCUGAUCCAGCCAUGCCGCGUGUGUGAAGAAGGUCUUCGGAUUGUAAAGCACUUUAAGUUGGGAGGAAGGGCAGUAAGUUAAUACCUUGCUGUUUUGACGUUACCAACAGAAUAAGCACCGGCUAACUUCGUG